GGAAAGCUAAUUUGUCAAGUUCUUGAAGUGUAUUCACCAGGGUAGGCCUUGCUCUGUCUUGAGAGGAAGCAGAAUAAAGUAUGUUUUCUUGCCUGGGCAUGAUUUCUACUUGGUGGUUUUGCAUUUCUAGAUGAUAGCAAGUUUUCUGAGGCAAUCACAGUGCUGCUUUCCUGGAUUGAACGAGGGGAAGUGAAUCGGCGUUCUGCAAACCAGUUCUAUUCCAUGGUGCAGUCAGCCAACAGCCACGUCCGCAGGCUAAUGAAUGAAAAAGCCACCCAUGAGCAAGAAAUGGAGGAAGCCAAGGAGAAUUUUAAAAAUGCCUUAACUGGAAUCCUCACUCAAUGAGCUCCGUAACGCUCAAAGUGAGCAGCUCAUGGGCAUCCGCCGCGAAGAAGAAAUGGAAAUGUCUGAUGAUGAGAAUUGUGACAGUCCUACUAAAAAAAUGAGAGUCGAUGAAUCAGCUCUGGCUGCUCAGGCCUAUGCUCUUAAAGAAGAGAAUGACAGUCUCCGCUGGCAACUGGAUGCCUACAGGAAUGAGGUGGAGUUGCUGAAGCAGGAAAAAGAACAGCUUUUCAGAACAGAAGAAAACCUCACCAAGGACCAGCAACUCCAGUUCCUGCAGCAAACCAUGCAAGGCAUGCAGCAGCAAUUGCUGACCAUCCAAGAGGAGUUAAACAACAAAAAGUCAGAACUGGAACAAGCAAAGGAAGAGCAGUCCCACACACAAGCAUUACUGAAAGUCCUGCAGGAACAAUUAAAAGGUACCAAGGAAUUGGUUGAGACCAACGGCCACAACCAUGAGGAUGCAAAUGAAAUCAAUGUGUUGACAGUUGCAUUGGUCAACCAAGACCGAGAGAACAAUAUUGAAAAAAGAAGCCAAGGCUUAAAAUCAGAGAAAGAAGCUCUGCUAAUCGGCAUCAUAUCCACAUUCCUUCACGUCCAUCCUUUCGGAGCCAAUAUAGAAUAUCUUUGGUCUUACAUGCAGCAGCUGGACUCCAAGAUAUCUGCCAACGAGAUUGAAAUGCUUUUGAUGAGGCUGCCGCGAAUGUUCAAGCAAGAAUUUACAGGUGUGGGAGCAACGCUGGAAAAGAGAUGGAAGUUGUGUGCCUUUGAAGGAAUUAAAACUACCUAACUGUGAAGAACAAGAAACCUCUGGAAUUGAAACAGUCUGAACCCAGCUAGGGCUAUGCAGUGUGAGAGGAGGGUUGGGGCUGUCCAAUGCAGGACCUGUGCAGAGCCAUCAAAGCCUGACUUCAGUUACAUCUGUGGUGUUCUCUCGUGAGUGGACAUGUAAUUGUGUACCAGUUCCUUAAACUAAACAAAGCUUCAUACUGUGACAGAUCUGUUUCCUAUGAAAACCAGACAAUGAUUCCACGGUCAUAAUAAUGGCAAAAUCUUAAAAUAGGUUACAUUUUUUAAUAGCUCACCAAGCAAAAUAUUUAAAGUUAAUGAUGGUGUAGCGAUGGUGGUUGCUAGGCUACAGAGUUGUGUAUGUAAUGUAUAGCUGAAAUCAUUAAGUGACAUUUUCCGGAAAAGUCUUUCUGUUUAAGUUAAAAAAAUCAACAAAAGUAAUUUUACAGUGAGGAAUAAUACCAAAAGAAAACUUGAAUAUGUGUCUGAACAGUUAUUGUAUUUUAUAAAUUAAGUUAUAUGCUGUUCCAGGGACUUUUGCCUUUUUUGAAGAGGCAGAAACUAUGAUUGGACUCCUUGAGAAUGCUUUAUCAAGAAUAUUAUUUUUCUAAUGUAACAAUUCUCCAUCAUAAGUUCUUUUAACAUGGACUGCAUAACAAUUUUCAUAAGAUGUAAAUAAAGGAAAACUAGUGCUACUGUCUUGUACUUGGUAUGUAACAUUCAGGUUUCUGCAUCAAAAUAAACAUUCAGCAAAUAUUCCUGUUACAAAUUUUAUAGAAAAGAUAUUAAUGUUUUUCAAUAAAUAUGACUUCUACCAUAUUGAUUUGCAAAUUAUUUGAUAUAUUUUAGUUAUUAAGAAAUCUUGUUCUCAUUGUUUAGUCACCUC
rnacentral:lncRNA from 1 species